AACGAACGCUGGCGGCAUGCCUAACACAUGCAAGUCGAACGAGACCUUCGGGUCUAGUGGCGCACGGGUGCGUAACGCGUGGGAAUCUGCCCUUGGGUUCGGAAUAACAGUUGGAAACGACUGCUAAUACCGGAUGAUGUCUUCGGACCAAAGAUUUAUCGCCCAGGGAUGAGCCCGCGUAGGAUUAGCUUGUUGGUGAGGUAAAGGCUCACCAAGGCGACGAUCCUUAGCUGGUCUGAGAGGAUGAUCAGCCACACUGGGACUGAGACACGGCCCAGACUCCUACGGGAGGCAGCAGUGGGGAAUAUUUGACAAUGGGCGAAAGCCUGAUCCAGCAAUGCCGCGUGAGUGAUGAAGGCCUUAGGGUUGUAAAGCUCUUUUACCCGGGAUGAUAAUGACAGUACAUGAAGAAUAAGCACCGGCUAACUACGUGCCAGCCGCCGCAGUAAGAC
rnacentral:rRNA from 1 species